rnacentral:rRNA from 1 species
UACCACGAAUUGCAGACGCUUAGAGUGGUGAAAUUUCGAACGCAUAGCACCAACUGGGUCUCCAGUUGGUACGUCUGGUUCAGGGUUGUU